CUCGAAACUUCUUUCCCGCUCUCGCUUCUUCUCCGGAGGACGUCCGUAUCCCAGUGUGCUCUCAGUGAGGUGUAGACCCCAUCAGGCACAAUGGUGAAGAUUGGAGUCAAUGGAUUUGGACGUAUUGGUCGUUUGGUGACCCGUGCUGCUGUUGCAGGUGGUAAGGUUGAGGUUGUAGCCAUCAAUGAUCCCUUCAUUGACCUGGAAUACAUGGCCUACAUGUUCAAGUACGACUCCACUCACGGCACUUGGAAGCACGGAGAGGUGAAGACUGAGGGUGGCAAGCUGGUCAUCGGUAACAUGCACAUCACGGUCUUCCAAGAGAGGGACCCCGCCAACAUCAAGUGGGGUGAUGCUGGUGUGGACUAUGUUGUAGAGUCCACUGGUGUCUUUACCACCAUUGAGAAGGCUUCUGCUCAUCUGAAGGGUGGAGCUAAGAGGGUGGUGAUCUCUGCUCCCAGUGCUGAUGCACCGAUGUUUGUAAUGGGUGUCAACCACGAAAAAUACAACAACUCAUUGACGGUUGUCAGCAAUGCUUCCUGCACCACCAACUGCCUGGCUCCCCUCGCCAAGGUCGUAAACGACAAUUUUGGCAUCGUGGAAGGUCUCAUGAGCACAGUCCACGCCGUCACUGCCACACAGAAGACUGUUGACGGGCCCUCUGGUAAAAUGUGGAGAGAUGGCCGCGGUGCCUCCCAGAACAUCAUCCCUGCCUCCACUGGAGCCGCCAAGGCUGUCGGCAAGGUCAUCCCUGAGCUGAACGGUAAACUGACAGGUAUGGCUUUCCGUGUGCCCACCCCCAACGUGUCCGUCGUUGACCUUACUGUCCGACUGGGGAAGCCUGCAAAGUAUGAAGACAUAAAGAAAACAAUCAAAGCUGCUGCUGAGGGACCCAUGAAGGGAAUUCUGGGAUACACAGAGGACCAGGUUGUGUCCACAGACUUCAACAGUGACCCUCACUCGUCAAUCUUUGACGCUGGAGCUGGCAUUGCACUCAACGACAACUUUGUCAAGCUGGUUUCAUGGUACGAUAACGAGUUUGGCUACAGCAACCGUGUGUGUGACCUGCUCGUGCACAUGUUCUCUAAGGAGUGAAAUCCUGACUCAUCAUUCCUUCACCUGGAUGUCACAGCAUCUGCAGAAAGGACAAACUGAACCUGAUCAAUGGGGAGAGAAAAUGUAUUGUCCUGCUUAAAAUGGGCUCGUCCCCUGUUCUGUCAGAAGUGAUGUUCGUACAGAUUCUUUGCAGUAUUGUUACUAUGCUUGUGGCUCCUUUGCACUUGAAAAUAAAGAACAGAAUUUAUGACAAA